ACAAAAAUGGCAGAUAAGUGCAUUAGAUUUAGGCUCUAAAUAUAAAGAUUAUUUUCUUUUUUUUGUA
rnacentral:tRNA from 1 species